CCUGACUCUAGUACGAGAGGACCGAGUCGGACGAACCGCUAGUGUACCUGUUGUUCCGCCAGGAGCACCGCAGGGUAGCUAUGUUCGGAUGAGAUAAGCGCUGAAAGCAUCUAAGUGCGAAACUCACCUCAAGAUAAGUUUUCUUUAUAAGGAUCGUGGAAGACUACCACGUUGAUAGGUUACAGGUGUAAAGGCAGCAAUGUCAAAGCCGAGUAAUACUAAUUAUCCGUAAGCUUUCUUAAA
rnacentral:rRNA from 1 species